AUGCUCACCUGGCAGCUGAGAUACCAUGGUCCAGAAGGUGGUUUUCCCAGGGUGACUCUUAUCAUAUUCCAGUUAUGCCAAGUUCUGUAACUUCCCCAAACACAAAACAUCUGACUGUAAUUUGUGGUACUGGGGAUUUGGGUUCAUGCUCUUCCUUC